UACGUAGGGUCCGAGCGUUGUCCGGAAUUAUUGGGCGUAAAGGGCUCGUAGGCGGUCUGUUGCGUCGGGAGUGAAAACUUACAGCUUAACUGUGAGCGUGCUUCCGAUACGGGCAGACUUGAGGUAUUCAGGGGAGAACGGAAUUCCUGGUGUAGCGGUGAAAUGCGCAGAUAUCAGGAGGAACACCGGUGGCGAAGGCGGGUCUCUGGGCCGUAACUGACGCUGAGGAGCGAAAGCAUGGGGAGCGAACAGG
rnacentral:rRNA from 1 species